rnacentral:rRNA from 1 species
AACGGCGAGUGAAGCGGGAUGAGCUCAAGCUUAAAAUCUUCGUACAAGUUUUGUAUGGCGAAUUGUAGUCUAUAGAGGCGUGGUCAGCGUGGACGCUUGGGGCAAGUUCCUUGGAAGAGGACAGCAUGGAGGGUGAUACUCCCGUUCAUCCCUGAGUGGCUCGUGCGUACGACCCGUUUUCUUUGAGUCGCGUUGUUUGGGAAUGCAGCGCAAAGUAGGUGGUAAAUUCCAUCUAAAGCUAAAUAUUGGUGCGAGACCGAUAGCGAACAAGUACCGUGAGGGAAAGAUGAAAAGAACUUUGAAAAGAGAGUUAAAAGAGUACCUGAAACUGCUGAAAGGGAACCGAAUCGUUUCCAGUGUCUACAAUCCGUGGCAUAUUUUCAUUGGCGAGUGUGUGCGUGCGUGUGCUUCGCAGCAGCCAUGAGCUGCGCUUGGCGCGUGUGGUGUGUGUACUUGCUGGUGCCCUGUGCUGCGGUGGGACGUCAAUGUCAGUUCGUAUGCUGCGGGAAAUGGCUGCCGAGGAGGUAGGGCUUACGCUUGCGUUUGUCUGUUAUAUCUUGGUGGACGAGUCGUCGCGGUUGGGACUGAGGUGCCUACAACGUGCUUUUGAGUGGGUUUGUGUCUUCGUGUGUACCGUGUGCGGAUAGCUUGCUAUGCGUGUGUGGUUAUGUGUGGAUUGAUGCGGGCUUUAACUUGUUGCCGUUC